AGAGUUUGAUCCUGGCUCAGAUUGAACGCUGGCGGAAUGCUUUACACAUGCAAGUCGAACGAUGAACCUUAGCUUGCUAAGGGGAUUAGUGGCGAACGGGUGAGUAAUAUAUCGGAACGUACCUUGUAAUGGGGGAUAACUAGUCGAAAGAUUAGCUAAUACCGCAUACGCCCUGAGGGGGAAAGUAGGGGAUUUUCGGACCUUACGUUAUAAGAGCGGCCGAUAUCUGAUUAGCUAGUUGGUGGGGUAAUGGCCUACCAAGGCGACGAUCAGUAGCUGGUCUGAGAGGACGACCAGCCACACUGGAACUGAGACACGGUCCAGACUCCUACGGGAGGCAGCAGUGGGGAAUUUUGGACAAUGGGCGCAAGCCUGAUCCAGCCAUUCCGCGUGAGUGAAGAAGGCCUUCGGGUUGUAAAGCUCUUUCGCAAGGGAAGAAAACUUACAUUCUAAUAAAGUGUGAGGCUGACGGUACCUUGAUAAGAAGCACCGGCUAACUACGUGCCAGCAGCCGCGGUAAUACGUAGGGUGCGAGCGUUAAUCGGAAUUACUGGGCGUAAAGCGUGCGCAGGCGGUUUUGUAAGUCAGAUGUGAAAUCCCCGAGCUCAACUUGGGAACUGCGUUUGAAACUACAAGACUAGAAUAUGUCAGAGGGGGGUAGAAUUCCACGUGUAGCAGUGAAAUGCGUAGAGAUGUGGAGGAAUACCAAUGGCGAAGGCAGCCCCCUGGGAUAAUAUUGACGCUCAUGCACGAAAGCGUGGGGAGCAAACAGGAUUAGAUACCCUGGUAGUCCACGCCCU
rnacentral:rRNA from 1 species